GGGUUGUGAGGUUAAGCGACUAAGCGUACACGGUGGAUGCCCUGGCAGUCAGAGGCGAUGAAGGACGUGCUAAUCUGCGAUAAGCGUCGGUGAGGUGAUAUGAACCGUUAUAACCGGCGAUUUCCGAAUGGGGAAACCCAGUGUGUUUCGACACACUAUCAUUAACUGAAUCCAUAGGUUAAUGAGGCGAACCGGGGGAACUGAAACAUCUAAGUACCCCGAGGAAAAGAAAUCAACCGAGAUUCCCCCAGUAGCGGCGAGCGAACGGGGAGGAGCCCAGAGCCUGAAUCAGUGUGUGUGUUAGUGGAAGCGUCUGGAAAGGCGUGCGAUACAGGGUGACAGCCCCGUACACAAAAAUGCACAUAUUGUGAGCUCGAUGAGUAGGGCGGGACACGUGGUAUCCUGUCUGAAUAUGGGGGGACCAUCCUCCAAGGCUAAAUACUCCUGACUGACCGAUAGUGAACCAGUACCGUGAGGGAAAGGCGAAAAGAACCCCGGCGAGGGGAGUGAAAAAGAACCUGAAACCGUGUACGUACAAGCAGUGGGAGCCUCUUAAUGGGGUGACUGCGUACCUUUUGUAUAAUGGGUCAGCGACUUAUAUUCUGUAGCAAGGUUAACCGAAUAGGGGAGCCGAAGGGAAACCGAGUCUUAACUGGGCGUUAAGUUGCAGGGUAUAGACCCGAAACCCGGUGAUCUAGCCAUGGGCAGGUUGAAGGUUGGGUAACACUAACUGGAGGACCGAACCGACUAAUGUUGAAAAAUUAGCGGAUGACUUGUGGCUGGGGGUGAAAGGCCAAUCAAACCGGGAGAUAGCUGGUUCUCCCCGAAAGCUAUUUAGGUAGCGCCUCGUGAAUUCAUCUCCGGGGGUAGAGCACUGUUUCGGCAAGGGGGUCAUCCCGACUUACCAACCCGAUGCAAACUGCGAAUACCGGAGAAUGUUAUCACGGGAGACACACGGCGGGUGCUAACGUCCGUCGUGAAGAGGGAAACAACCCAGACCGCCAGCUAAGGUCCCAAAGUCAUGGUUAAGUGGGAAACGAUGUGGGAAGGCCCAGACAGCCAGGAUGUUGGCUUAGAAGCAGCCAUCAUUUAAAGAAAGCGUAAUAGCUCACUGGUCGAGUCGGCCUGCGCGGAAGAUGUAACGGGGCUAAACCAUGCACCGAAGCUGCGGCAGCGACACUAUGUGUUGUUGGGUAGGGGAGCGUUCUGUAAGCCUGUGAAGGUGGCCUGUGAGGGUUGCUGGAGGUAUCAGAAGUGCGAAUGCUGACAUAAGUAACGAUAAAGCGGGUGAAAAGCCCGCUCGCCGGAAGACCAAGGGUUCCUGUCCAACGUUAAUCGGGGCAGGGUGAGUCGACCCCUAAGGCGAGGCCGAAAGGCGUAGUCGAUGGGAAACAGGUUAAUAUUCCUGUACUUGGUGUUACUGCGAAGGGGGGACGGAGAAGGCUAUGUUGGCCGGGCGACGGUUGUCCCGGUUUAAGCGUGUAGGCUGGUUUUCCAGGCAAAUCCGGAAAACCAAGGCUGAGGCGUGAUGACGAGGCACUACGGUGCUGAAGUGACAAAUGCCCUGCUUCCAGGAAAAGCCUCUAAGCAUCAGGUAACAUCAAAUCGUACCCCAAACCGACACAGGUGGUCAGGUAGAGAAUACCAAGGCGCUUGAGAGAACUCGGGUGAAGGAACUAGGCAAAAUGGUGCCGUAACUUCGGGAGAAGGCACGCUGAUAUGUAGGUGAAGCGACUUGCUCGUGGAGCUGAAAUCAGUCGAAGAUACCAGCUGGCUGCAACUGUUUAUUAAAAACACAGCACUGUGCAAACACGAAAGUGGACGUAUACGGUGUGACGCCUGCCCGGUGCCGGAAGGUUAAUUGAUGGGGUUAGCGGUAACGCGAAGCUCUUGAUCGAAGCCCCGGUAAACGGCGGCCGUAACUAUAACGGUCCUAAGGUAGCGAAAUUCCUUGUCGGGUAAGUUCCGACCUGCACGAAUGGCGUAAUGAUGGCCAGGCUGUCUCCACCCGAGACUCAGUGAAAUUGAACUCGCUGUGAAGAUGCAGUGUACCCGCGGCAAGACGGAAAGACCCCGUGAACCUUUACUAUAGCUUGACACUGAACAUUGAGCCUUGAUGUGUAGGAUAGGUGGGAGGCUUUGAAGUGUGGACGCCAGUCUGCAUGGAGCCGACCUUGAAAUACCACCCUUUAAUGUUUGAUGUUCUAACGUUGGCCCGUAAUCCGGGUUGCGGACAGUGUCUGGUGGGUAGUUUGACUGGGGCGGUCUCCUCCUAAAGAGUAACGGAGGAGCACGAAGGUUGGCUAAUCCUGGUCGGACAUCAGGAGGUUAGUGCAAUGGCAUAAGCCAGCUUGACUGCGAGCGUGACGGCGCGAGCAGGUGCGAAAGCAGGUCAUAGUGAUCCGGUGGUUCUGAAUGGAAGGGCCAUCGCUCAACGGAUAAAAGGUACUCCGGGGAUAACAGGCUGAUACCGCCCAAGAGUUCAUAUCGACGGCGGUGUUUGGCACCUCGAUGUCGGCUCAUCACAUCCUGGGGCUGAAGUAGGUCCCAAGGGUAUGGCUGUUCGCCAUUUAAAGUGGUACGCGAGCUGGGUUUAGAACGUCGUGAGACAGUUCGGUCCCUAUCUGCCGUGGGCGCUGGAGAACUGAGGGGGGCUGCUCCUAGUACGAGAGGACCGGAGUGGACGCAUCACUGGUGUUCGGGUUGUCAUGCCAAUGGCACUGCCCGGUAGCUAAAUGCGGAAGAGAUAAGUGCUGAAAGCAUCUAAGCACGAAACUUGCCCCGAGAUGAGUUCUCCCUGACUCCUUGAGGGUCCUGAAGGAACG
rnacentral:rRNA from 1 species